rnacentral:rRNA from 1 species
CUUGACCUACGGGGCGCAGCAGUGGGGAAUAUUGCACAAUGGGGGAAACCCUGAUGCAGCGACGCCGCGUGAGUGAAGAAGUAUUUCGGUAUGUAAAGCUCUAUCAGCAGGGAAGAAACCCACCCUUUGGGGUGGCUGACGGUACCUGAGUAAGAAGCCCCGGCUAACUACGUGCCAGCAGCCGCGGUAAUACGUAGGGGGCAAGCGUUAUCCGGAUUUACUGGGUGUAAAGGGAGCGUAGACGGCCAGACAAGUCUGAAGUGAAAAUCCAGCGCUUAACGUUGGAAGUGCUUUGGAAACUGCCG